rnacentral:misc_RNA from 1 species
GAGAUGCGAUAAGUAAUGUGAAUUGCAGAAUUCAGUGAAUCAUCGAAUCUUUGAACGCACAUUGCGCCCGGCAGCAAUCUGCCGGGCAUGCCUGUCCGAGCGUCAUUUCUGCCCUCGAGCGCGGUUCGGCCCCUAGCGGGCCGGCCGCCGCCCGGUGUUGGGGCGCUGCGGGCCCUCGUGCCCGCAGGCCCUGAAAUGAAGUGGCGGUCCCGCCGCGGCGCCCCCUGCGUAGUAGUAAAGCACCUCGCAUCGGGUCCCGGCGGAGGCCAGCCGUCGAACCUCUCUUUUGAUGGUUUGACCUCGGAUCAGGUAGGGUUACCCGCUGAACUUAAGC